rnacentral:tRNA from 2 species
GCGGCCGUGGCGGAAUGGCGAGACGCGCUGGGUUUAGGUCCCAGUGGGCGCAAGCCCGUGAGGGUUCGAAUCCCUCCGGCCGCACCA